rnacentral:rRNA from 1 species
UAGGGAAUAUUGCGCAAUGGAGGAAACUCUGACGCAGCGACGCCGCGUGGGUGAUGAAGGCUUUCGGGUCGUAAAGCCCUGUCGGAAGGGAAGAAAAACGCUCUGGCUAACAUCCAGGGCGCUUGACGGUACCUUCAAAGGAAGCACCGGCUAACUACGUGCCAGCAGCCGCGGUAAUACGUAGGGUGCAAGCGUUGUUCGGAAUCAUUGGGCGUAAAGCGCGUGUAGGCGGUUAGUUAAGUCGGGUGUGAAAUCCCUCAGCUCAACUGAGGAAGUGCAUCCGAAACUGGCUGGCUAGAGAGUGGCAGAGGGAGGUGGAAUUCCUAGUGUAGAGGUGAAAUUCGUAGAUAUUAGGAGGAAUACCGGUGGCGAAGGCGGCCUCCUGGACCAUUUCUGACGCUGAGACGCGAAAGCGUGGGGAGCAAACAG